GAAGUAGAAGAGGAGGAGUAUGAUGAAGAUGCAGCUCCAGGAGAUGAAGAUGAAGAAGAAGGUGAAGACGAGGAUGAGGAGGAAGGAGAAGAGGAAGAGGAGGAUGAUGUCAGUGGAGAGGAAGAGGAAGAAGAAGACUUAAACGAUGGAGAAGUUGAUGAUGAAGAUGACUUUGAAGAGGAGCGAGGUCAGAAGAGGAAAAGGGAGUUGGACGAGGAAGGCGAGGAGGAUGAAGACUGAACAUGCACUCUCGGGUCCCCAUUCGUGAUCUGACUGUUUUAACCCUCUAUUUCUAUGUCCUAAUGUUGUUUUGCGGUGGUAUGGGGGGAGGUAUGCAAGUGGUAGGGGUGGGGUAGUAAGCGGACAAGGACACAGUUUAAAAAUGCUUUAUUUUUAUUUUUUUGAUGUUUUGUUUUUCAUUUGUUUUUGAUUUGUAUUGAGUUGUUUUUUGGAUUUAUUUUAUUUUAAUUUUAUUUGUUAGGAUUGAUCCCCUCCCCUUU
rnacentral:lncRNA from 1 species